ACAGCUCAAAUUUGAAAUCUGGCCCUUUCAGGGUCCGAGUUGUAAUUUGUAGAAGCAGCUUUGGGUGUGGCACCGGUCUAAGUUCCUUGGAACAGGACGUCAUAGAGGGUGAGAAUCCCGUAUGUGACUGGGUGCUUUCGCUCAUGUGAAGCUCUUUCGACGAGUCGAGUUGUUUGGGAAUGCAGCUCAAAAUGGGUGGUAAACUUCAUCUAAAGCUAAAUAUUGGCCAGAGACCGAUA
rnacentral:rRNA from 1 species